rnacentral:rRNA from 1 species
AUGAAGAACGUAGCGAAAUGCGAUACUUGGUGUGAAUUGCAGAAUCCCGUGAACCAUCGAGUCUUUGAACGCAAGUUGCGCCUGAAGCCAUUAGGCUAAAGGCACGUCUGCCUGGGCGUCACG